AACCUGCAACUUUUGGAUCUAAAGGGAGUAGUUCUAACCACUACACUACCAACUGUCCCUCACUUUCAGAAGUUUUCUUACCCUUAAGUGUGUUUUUAAACAUGUUGAACACUCUGGUUUCUCAGCACAAUGUUUUGCUCAGAUUCUCCCCAGAUCUCUCCUCCCUGGAGCUGCAACAGGACCGCAGCAGAGAUCAGCUGUUCCUGUGAAAGUAGAGGGAAUCCCUACCCCACCAUAGAGUGGCAUCUGUCUGACCGGCUGCUCACUAACUCUACUGACAGAGUCAUUGUGGAGGAGCAUCUGGGUACCACAGGGCUGAGGAGCUCCAUCACCAUGCACCAGAAACAGAAAGACACACACACUCUUCUCUGCCUCAGCCGCAACCCUCUUGGCUCCUUUGGUGUCUCUGUUUACAUCCCUCCCUAUGAGUCUGACUCAGUUCUGAUUCACAUGGUUCCCUCUCUGAUUGGCACUGCUGCAGGAGCUACUGUGAUGAUGCUUGUUUGCAUCUUAUUUCAACUUUUUCUGUGUUUUAGGAGGCGGAAGACCAGGCAGAAGCACAGCACUAGGAUGGAGGACUCUGCAAAGGAGUUAAGAGUGAUAAACCAGAGUCCCUUCAAAGGUGCAGAACAGCUGUAUGCCAACAAAGCCAUGUUGCCAGGAGAUACACAAAUCGUGUGUGAUGGGAAUGAGGAGGAUGAAGACGGGGCCACCACUCUCCACUAUGCCAACAUUGACUUCUCUAGUGUACAGAGCAAUGGGAAGGAAAAGGGAGCGGGAGUCAUUCGGGGAGGUUCACAAAAAACAACCGACUACGCCGAGAUCCGCCACAAAUGCCAAAAUAACCUUGGAGUCAAGGAAUGUAAGACUGAGCUUCAGGAUGAGGAGGGAGAGUAUGCUGAAGUGCCAGGGACAAGGCCUGGGGCUGAGGGAGAGGAGAAGAAAGGAGGACCACUUCUGAAAAUGGAGAACCAUCUGUGUGUGACCAUAAAUUCACCUGAACCCAUGGAGGAAGCAACACCUGGGAACAUCUACAGAAGCUGACAAGGAUCAUGUUUCAUGGAGGCACCUUUUGAUAUAGAGGAGAGGAAUACAGCUGAGUGUCAGCAUAUCAUUUCUGCUCAGCCUGUGUGCAUUUACUGCAAAAAAGGGCACCAAAGAGAUCAAAGAUGCCACAGAAAGAGGAAGAAGGAAGCCUUAACACAACGAUGUUUUAAUAAAUGUACUGAUACAAAAUGUUUUUUUUUUUGU
rnacentral:lncRNA from 1 species